GCUGGGUGUGGUGGUGCACACCUAUAAUCCCAGGGGCUCAGCAGGCUGAGACAGGAGAAUCUUGAGUUCAAAGCCAGCCUCAGCAAUGGUGAGGCUCUAAGCAACUCAGUGAGACCCUGUGUCUA
rnacentral:sRNA from 1 species